CAGCAGCCGCGGUAAUACGAAGGGGGCUAGCGUUGUUCGGAAUUACUGGGCGUAAAGCGCACGUAGGCGGAUAUUUAAGUCAGGGGUGAAAUCCCAGAGCUCAACUCUGGAACUGCCUUUGAUACUGGGUAUCUUGAGUAUGGAAGAGGUGAGUGGAAUUCCGAGUGUAGAGGUGAAAUUCGUAGAUAUUCGGAGGAACACCAGUGGCGAAGGCGGCUCACUGGUCCAUUACUGACGCUGAGGUGCGAAAGCGUGGGGAGCAAACAGGAUUAGAUACCCCUGUAGUCCAUGUCUCUUAUAC
rnacentral:rRNA from 1 species